rnacentral:rRNA from 1 species
UACGUAGGGUGCAAGCGUUAAUCGGAAUUACUGGGCGUAAAGCGUGCGCAGGCGGUUUUGUAAGACUGUCGUGAAAUCCCCGGGCUCAACCUGGGAAUGGCGAUGGUGACUGCAAGGCUAGAGUUUGGCAGAGGGGGGUAGAAUUCCACGUGUAGCAGUGAAAUGCGUAGAUAUGUGGAGGAACACCGAUGGCGAAGGCAGCCCCCUGGGUCAAAACUGACGCUCAUGCACGAAAUCGUGGGGAGCAAACAGG